ACCUCAACUCAGGCAAGAUUACGCCGCGAACUAAAGCAUUUCAGUAACGGCAGGAAAAGAAAAUAACAAUGAUUCCCUCAGUAACUGCGAGUGAAGUGGGAUCAGUCCAACGUUGAAAGCGGCACCCCUAAUAAGGUGUGGCAUUGUAACGUAUAGACUUGUCAUCGAGACAUUUGGCUGAACUAAAGUCGUUAAGAGUGACGCACCAUAGAGGGUUGUAGUCCCGUGCAUGGUUUGGUUUCAGAUGUUAAGAAUGGCAAAGUCAAAGAGUCGGAUUGUUUGGGAAUGCAAUCCAAAGUAGGUGGUAAACUCCAUCUAAGGCUAAAUAUAACUCCGAGACCGAUAGCAAACAAGUACCGUGAGGGAAAGGUGAAAAGAACUCUGAGAAGAGAUUGAAAAGAACGUGAAACCGUUAAUGGGGAAGCGUACAAUGUAAUCGUAGCACUGUGAUAUUUGUGUUGGACAGUUUCGACUGUUUGGUGCUUAAUUUUACAGUGCGCGCUAGGCUCUAUGCUAAUGUUAUUGUCGGCGUGUUUAGUGGUUCAUCAACGGCUAUUCCUUGAGGAAUGGCUAGGUGGCUGUGAGCACGUGCUGUUAUAGAAUAACGCGGCAUAGAUGUAUGUGCUUGUGUGUUGUGCUGUGUAGGCGUAAAGUUGGCAUUGGUCACAAUGUGUUUGAUGUUGAUGUAGCGUUUAUGCAGUGUGAUACCACGAUGAUCGUCGCACAUAAACUCUUAGCGAGAUAUGACAUUGUUCGACCCGUCUUGAAACACGGACCAAGGAGGCUAACAUGUACGCGAGUCGAGGAGUGGAGAAACUCUAUGGCGUAACGAAAGUAAAAUGUGAGAUCAUGCAAUGUGGAGUUGUAUGCGCAUCACAGACCAGUCGGAAAAUAGACUACGAUUGAGUUGGAGCGUACAUGCUAGAACCCGAUAGAUGGUGACCUAUUCCUGAGUAGAGCGAAUUCAUUGGAAACAAUGAUGGAGGCUCGUAGCGGUUCUGUCGUGCAAAUCGAUCGUCAAACUUGGGUAUAGGGGCGAAAGACUAAUCGAACCAUCUAGUAGCUGGUUCCCUCCGAAAUAUCCCUCAGGAUCGCCGAGACUCGUAGCAGUUUCAUCGGGUAGAGCUAAUGAUUAGAGGACUCGGGGCUAUUUAUAGCCUCGACCUAUUCUCAAACUGCAAACCGGUGAUCUUGUCAGUGAUUUCUUAAUUGAAUCGUUGAUACCGUAAGGGCGAAUGCAGAGUCUCGAGUGGGCCGUUUUUGGUAAGCAGAACUGGCGAUGCGGGAUGAACCGAGAGUCGAGUUAAAGUGCCUAAAUGGCGGCAAACGGACACCAUAAAAGGAGUUGGUAAAUUAUGACAGUGAGGCUGUGGUCCUGUAAGUAGAUAUCAGCUAAGAAGUGUGCAACAACUUACUUACCGAAUUUACUGGCCCUGAAAAUGGAUGGCGCUGUAGCCGUCUACUGAUACUCGACCGUAGACGCGAGAAAAGUAACGUCUAUGGGUAGGAGGGUGCUAUGGUUGCGUAGAAGCGUAUUUGUGAGAAUAUGUGGAGCAGCCAUAGGUACAGAUCUUGGUUUUAGUAGCAGCGUAUAGAAGUGAGAACCUUCUAGGCCGAAGUGGAGAAGGGUUCCUCGUGAACAGCAGUUGGACGAGGGUUAGUCGGUCCUAAGCAGAAGCUUACAUGCUGAGCAAAAGGGGACGUUUUGUAGUUAAUGUGUUUACACAUGAUACAUCGUCUCAGUCUGCGAAAGGGAAUCAGGUUAAUAUUCCUGAACCAGGCGGCGGAUAACCUGUGUUGUUUGCUAGUAUUGGAGCAAUCUAGUGCUGAUGAGUAACAUUGGUAAAGCGGUAACGCAAAUGAACUCGGAGACGUUGUUGGUAGUUCUGGGAAGAGUUGUCUUUUCCGUUUAACCAGUUGGCUGAGCCUGGAAUAGAGUCAUUCAGAGAUAGGGUUAACAACUGGGAAGAGCGUCGCAUUUUUGUGGCGUCUGGAAUACUGCCAAUGAUCCUUGAAAAUCCGAGGGAGUGAUUAAGUGUCGUGCCUGGCCGUACCGAGAUCCGCAUCAGGUCUCCUAGGUGAAAAGCCUCUGGCUCUAGAAUAAUGUGGGUAAGGGAAGUCGGCAAAAUAGAUUCGUAACUUCGGGAAAAGGAUUGGCUCUAAGGGUUGGACUAUUCGGGCUGUUGUCUCGUGCUAGUAGCGAUCGUUGACGCUGAUUGUUUGGCUUUAUGGGUAACUGUGAGGUCGAACUUUUUGUUGUUGAUGUAUUGCAACCGGUACCAGACGUCAGUUUACAGUGAUUCAUAGGUGAAUUUAUUUAUCUAUGAGUUCUGUCUCGCGAGUAGCCUAAAUCAAUCAACUUAGAACUGUCACUAACUAGGGGAAUCCGACUGUUUAAUUAAAACAAAGCAUUGCGAUGGCUGGAAACGGUGUUGACGCAAUGUGAUUUCUGCCCAGUGCUC
rnacentral:rRNA from 1 species